rnacentral:rRNA from 1 species
AGCGAACGCUGGCGGCAGGCUUAACACAUGCCAGUCGAGCGGGCAUAGCAAUAUGUCCGCGGCAGACGGGUGAGUAACGCGUGGGAACGUACCUUUUGGUUCGGAACAACUGAGGGAAACUUCAGCUAAUACCGGAUAAGCCCUUACGGGGAAAGAUUUAUCGCCGAAAGAUCGGCCCGCGUCUGAUUAGCUAGUUGGUGAGGUAAUGGCUCACCAAGGCGACGAUCAGUAGCUGGUCUGAGAGGAUGAUCAGCCACAUUGGGACUGAGACACGGCCCAAACUCCUACGGGAGGCAGCAGUGGGGAAUAUUGGACAAUGGGCGCAAGCCUGAUCCAGCCAUGCCGCGUGAGUGAUGAAGGCCCUAGGGUUGUAAAGCUCUUUUGUGCGGGAAGAUAAUGACGGUACCGCAAGAAUAAGCCCCGGCUAACUUCGUG